UACAGAGGUGCCAAGCGUUAGGCGGAAUCACUGGGCUUAAAGCGCGUGUAGGCGGGUCGUUAAGUGUCCGAGUGAAAUCCCACGGCUCAACCGUGGAACUGCCGGGCAUACUGGCGAUCUUGAGGCAUUCAGGGGCGAGCGGAACAAAUGGUGGAGCGGUGAAAUGCGUAGAUAUCGGGAGGAACACCAGUAGCGAAGGCGGCUUACUGGUCCGGUUCUGACGCUGAGGCGCGAAAGCGUGGGGAGCAAACAGG
rnacentral:rRNA from 1 species